rnacentral:rRNA from 1 species
UACAGAGGGUGCGAGCGUUAAUCGGAAUUACUGGGCGUAAAGCGUGCGUAGACGGUUAUUUAAGUCGGGUGUGAAAGCCCCGGGCUCAACCUGGGAAUUGCAUUCGAGACUGAAUAGCUAGGGUACGGUAGAGGGAAGCGGAAUUUCCGGUGUAGCGGUGAAAUGCGUAGAUAUCGGAAGGAACACCAGUGGCGAAGGCGGCUACCUGGCAUGAUGCUGACACUGAGGCGCGAGAGCGUGGGGAGCAAACAGG